rnacentral:rRNA from 1 species
AACGAACGCUGGCGGCAGGCUUAACACAUGCAAGUCGAGCGCCCCGCAAGGGGAGCGGCAGACGGGUGAGUAACGCGUGGGAACGUACCUUUUGGUUCGGAACAACUCCGGGAAACUGGAGCUAAUACCGGAUAAGCCCUAACGGGGAAAGAUUUAUCGCCGAAAGAUCGGCCCGCGUCUGAUUAGCUAGUUGGUGAGGUAACGGCUCACCAAGGCGACGAUCAGUAGCUGGUCUGAGAGGAUGAUCAGCCACACUGGGACUGAGACACGGCCCAGACUCCUACGGGAGGCAGCAGUGGGGAAUAUUGGACAAUGGGCGCAAGCCUGAUCCAGCCAUGCCGCGUGAGUGAUGAAGGCCUUAGGGUUGUAAAGCUCUUUUGUCCGGGAAGAUAAUGACUGUACCGGAGGAAUAAGCCCCGGCUAACUUCGUG